GAUGAACGCUGGCGGCGUGCGUAACACAUGCAAGUCGAACGAAGCACUUUCUUUANAUUCUUCGGAUGAAGAAGACUGUGACUGAGUGGCGGACGGGUGAGUAACGCGUGGGCAACCUGCCCUGUACAGGGGGAUAACAGUUAGAAAUGACUGCUAAUACCGCGUAAGCGCACGAGGACGCAUGUUCUUGUGUGAAAAACUCCGGUGGUACAGGAUGGGCCCGCGUCUGAUUAGGUAGUUGGUGGGGCAGCGGCCUACCAAGCCGACGAUCAGUAGCCGACCUGAGAGGGUGACCGGCCACAUUGGGACUGAGACACGGCCCAAACUCCUACGGGAGGCAGCAGUGGGGAAUAUUGCACAAUGGGGGAAACCCUGAUGCAGCGACGCCGCGUGAAGGAAGAAGUAUUUCGGUAUGUAAACUUCUAUCAGCAGGGAAGAAACUGACGGUACCUGACUAAGAAGCACCGGCUAAAUACGUGCCAGCAGCCGCGGUAAUACGUAUGGUGCAAGCGUUAUCCGGAUUUACUGGGUGUAAAGGGAGCGUAGACGGAGAGGCAAGUCUGAAGUGAAAGCCCGGGGCUCAACCCCGGGACUGCUUUGGAAACUGCAGUUCUAGAGUGCCGGAGAGGUAAGCGGAAUUCCUAGUGUAGCGGUGAAAUGCGUAGAUAUUAGGAGGAACACCAGUGGCGAAGGCGGCUUACUGGACGGUGACUGACGUUGAGGCUCGAAAGCGUGGGGAGCAAACAGG
rnacentral:rRNA from 1 species